rnacentral:rRNA from 1 species
AGAGUUUGAUCAUGGCUCAGAUUGAACGCUGGCGGCAGGCCUAACACAUGCAAGUCGAGCGGAUGAAGGGAGCUUGCUCCUGGAUUCAGCGGCGGACGGGUGAGUAAUGCCUAGGAAUCUGCCUGGUAGUGGGGGAUAACGUCCGGAAACGGGCGCUAAUACCGCAUACGCCCUGAGGGAGAAAGGGGGGGAUCUUCGGACCUCACGCUAUCAGAUGAGCCUAGGUCGGAUUAGCUAGUUGGUGGGGUAAAGGCCUACCAAGGCGACGAUCCGUAACUGGUCUGAGAGGAUGAUCAGUCACACUGGAACUGAGACACGGUCCAGACUCCUACGGGAGGCAGCAGUGGGGAAUAUUGGACAAUGGGCGAAAGCCUGAUCCAGCCAUGCCGCGUGUGUGAAGGAGGUCUUCGGAUUGUAAAGCACUUUAAGUUGGGAGGAAGGGCAGUAAGUUAAUACCUUGCUGUUUUGACGUUACCAACAGAAUAAGCACCGGCUAACUUCGUGCCAGCAGCCGCGGUAAUACGAAGGGUGCAAGCGUUAAUCGGAAUUACUGGGCGUAAAGCGCGCGUAGGUGGUUCAGCAAGUUGGAUGUGAAAUCCCCGGGCUCAACCUGAGAACUGCAUCCAAAACUACUGAGCUAGAGUACGGUAGAGGGUGGUGGAAUUUCCUGUGUAGCGGUGAAAUGCGUAGAUAUAGGAAGGAACACCAGUGGCGAAGGCGACCACCUGGACUGAUACUGACACUGAGGUGCGAAAGCGUGGGGAGCAAACAGGAUUAGAUACCCUGGUAGUCCACGCCGUAAACGAUGUCGACUAGCCGUUGGGAUCCUUGAGAUCUUAGUGGCGCAGCUAACGCGAUAAGUCGACCGCCUGGGGAGUACGGCCGCAAGGUUAAAACUCAAAUGAAUUGACGGGGGCCCGCACAAGCGGUGGGGCAUGUGGUUUAAUUCGAAGCAACGCGAAGAACCUUACCUGGCCUUGACAUGCUGAGAACUUUCCAGAGAUGGAUUGGUGCCUUCGGGAACUCAGACACAGGUGCUGCAUGGCUGUCGUCAGCACGUGUCGUGAGAUGUUGGGUUAAGUCCCGUAACGAGCGCAACCCUUGUCCUUAGUUACCAGCACCUCGGGUGGGCACACUAAGGAGACUGCCGGUGACAAACCGGAGGAAGGUGGGGAUGACGUCAAGUCAUCAUGCCCCUUACGGCCAGGGCUACACACGUGCUACAAUGGUCGGUACAAAGGGUUGCCAAGCCGCGAGGUGGAGCUAAUCCCAUAAAACCGAUCGUAGUCCGGAUCGCAGUCUGCAACUCGACUGCGUGAAGUCGGAAUCGCUAGUAAUCGUGAAUCAGAAUGUCACGGUGAAUACGUUCCCGGGCCUUGUACACACCGCCCGUCACACCGUGGGAGUGGGUUGCUCCAGAAGUAGCUAGUCUAACCGCAAGGGGGACGGUUACCACGGAGUGAUUCAUGACUGGGGUGAAGUCGAAAC